rnacentral:rRNA from 1 species
UACGUAGGGUGCAAGCGUUGUCCGGAAUUAUUGGGCGUAAAGGGCUCGUAGGCGGUCUGUCGCGUCGGGAGUGAAAACUCAGGGCUUAACCCUGAGCCUGCUUCCGAUACGGGCAGACUAGAGGUAUGCAGGGGAGAACGGAAUUCCUGGUGUAGCGGUGAAAUGCGCAGAUAUCAGGAGGAACACCGGUGGCGAAGGCGGAUCUCUGGGCCAUUACUGACGCUGAGGAGCGAAAGCGUGGGGAGCGAACAGG